rnacentral:rRNA from 1 species
AAGCAAUAAACACACCGCCUGGGGAGUACGACCGCAAGGUUAAAACUCAAAUGAAUUGACGGGGACCCGCACAAGUAGUGGAGCAUGUGGUUUAAUUCGAAGAUACGCGCAGAACCUUACCAACACUUGACAUGUUCGUCGCGACUUUAAGAGAUUAAAGUUUUCGGUUCGGCCGGACGAAACACAGGUGCUGCAUGGCUGUCGUCAGCUCGUGUCGUGAGAUGUUGGGUUAAGUCCCGCAACGAGCGCAACCCUCACUUUUAGUUGCCAUCAUUAAGUUGGGCACUCUGAAAGAACUGCCAGUGAUAAGCUGGAGGAAGGUGGGGAUGACGUCAAGUCCUCAUGGCCCUUACGUGUUGGGCUACACACGUGCUACAAUGGCAUUUACAACAGGAAGCAAAACGGCGACGUUAAGCAAAUCCUAAAAAAAUGCCUCAGUUCGGAUUGUACUCUGCAACUCGAGUACAUGAAGCUGGAAUUACUAGUAAUCGCGGAUCAGCGCGCCGCGGUGAAUACGUUCCCGGGUCUUGUACACACCGCCCGUCACACCAUGGGAGUUGGUUCUACCUUAAGGCAAAGGUUAAAAACUUUGACCACGGUAUAGUCAGCGACUGGGGUGAAGUCAUAACAAGGUAACCGUA